rnacentral:rRNA from 1 species
CCCUUAGAUGUUCUGGGCUGCACACGCGCUACACUGGCAGGUUCAGCGAGCUUCUUGCCCUGAUCUGAGAAGAAUGGGAAACCUUUUCAACACCUGCCGUGCUUGGGAUAGAUGUUUGCAAUUAUUCAUCUUCAACAAGGAUUGCCUUGUAGGCGUGCCUCAUCAGGGCACAUCGAAUACGACCCUGUAUUCUGUACACACCGCCCGUCGCUCCUACCGAUUGAAUGGUCCGGUGAAGCGUUCGGACCGCUUCCUUUGGACGGGCAACCGUCUGUUGGUCGUGGGAAGUUCGUUAAACCUUAUCAUUUAGAGGAAGGAGAAGUCGUAACA